UACGUAGGGGGCGAGCGUUGUCCGGAAUGAUUGGGCGUAAAGGGCGCGUAGGCGGCCUGUUAAGUCUGGAGUGAAAGUCCUGCUUUCAAGGUGGGAAUUGCUUUGGAAACUGGCGGGCUUGAGUGUGGGAGAGGAAAGCGGAAUUCCCGGUGUAGCGGUGAAAUGCGUAGAGAUCGGGAGGAACACCAGUGGCGAAGGCGGCUUUCUGGACCAUAACUGACGCUGAGGCGCGAAAGCGUGGGGAGCAAACAGG
rnacentral:rRNA from 1 species